AUUCAUUUAUUUCAUUUUUCCAUACUCUUACUAUUGCCAAUUAAAUCUAUAUUUGUGCUCCUGCUUUCACAGUAAGUAUACAGAGUAGGUUUCCCUGCCUUCCCCUAUUAGAUUAUAAACUCCCUGAGGACAAGAACCAAAUCAUCUACUUUUACCAAAAAGCUAGUGCUCUGAAAACAGUAGGUACUAUAAAAAUACAAAUGAUUGAGUGAGUGAAUGAGAAGUAAUGGAGAGCUGUUGGAGGUUUCUGAUGAUGAGAAUCAUAUUUUUGGAUCAGCAUUUUACUAACUUGCAUUGUACUUUCCCAAGAGUCUUGUUGCCUGUAUAUAAAAACAUGUAUUUCUGUGUCUAAUUCUAGUCUCCCUGUCAAGCAGAGUCACAGAAUUUGACUCAGUAAAUUCAGCGUUCAAGUUCCUUGAGACCAGGGACCAUAUAUUUUGCUUCUAUUGUAUUCUAAGGUUUCCCUGCCUUCCCCUAUUAGAUUAUAAACUCCCUGAGGACAAGAACCAAAUCAUCUACUUUUACCAAAAAGCUAGUGCUCUGAAAACAGUAGGUACUAUAAAAAUACAAAUGAUUGAGUGAGUGAAUGAGAAGUAAUGGAGAGCUGUUGGAGGUUUCUGAUGAUGAGAAUCAUAUUUUUGGAUCAGCAUUUUACUAACUUGCAUUGUACUUUCCCAAGAGUCUUGUUGCCUGUAUAUAAAAACAUGUAUUUCUGUGUCUAAUUCUAGUCUCCCUGUCAAGCAGAGUCACAGAAUUUGACUCAGUAAAUUCAGCGUUCAAGUUCCUUGAGACCAGGGACCAUAUAUUUUGCUUCUAUUGUAUUCUUCCAAGCAUCUAGUACAGUGUUCUGCAAAAGGUAGAUGCUCUAUAAAUACAAAUAAAAUACUACUGAAGGAUUGAUUCAAAGUUAUAUGCCUUGUGACAUAUAAAACUACUGCACGCAGUUUAGAAUAAUAAAAUUUUGGCUAAGGCAUUUCAAAAUUAAAUGGGUACAAUGGUUAGUAAAACUGGAGUUAUCAUUUCAUGCUCCUUGGAAAUACAUGUUGCUUCAUUUUAAGAGAAAAAAAUGGGUUCAACAUUUUAUUUCAUUGUAAUUCCUUAGAAGACUCUUCCUCAAAGCAUAAUUCAAAUGUUGAAGUUCACCUACUUUACAGUCCGCUAGACUAAAUUCCCUUAUCUUCUACAUUUCUUUAGAGCUAUUAUUACCAUUCAAAGUUGAUCUGAUGUGGAAUAUGAUGAGGUAUUAUCAAGCUCUCUGCAUGAAAGGCUUUCCUGCAGAAUGGAACGGAUUGGGGAACAUCUGCUGGUCUCGGAAAUGCGGUUCAUGUGUCUACAAAAAUCAGAAGAUAUUGUUUUCUUAUUUUAUUUAAUGUAUAGCCUAUAAAUAAUAAACUUUAAGCUACUGUA